rnacentral:lncRNA from 1 species
UAAUUACAUGACAAUCAUGACUCUUCAAGCCAGUAAACUUUCCUUCAAUUCUAUCAACGCAGUUCCCCAAAUUUGAUGCAUAUCCGUCAAGAAAUUUCACUUUAUCUGUAAUCCAAUCAAAGAACUCUUCUUUUCUAGCACCAUCCAGCCGAUAAAUGGGAAAAUGGGCCGUACCGUUCUCAUCAACGUGAAGUUCAGAACGAUCACAGAUAUCGACUAAAUCCAACCUUGACUUCAAAUUAUCCUUCGUUUUACCUUGGAUGUUAAGGACUGUGUUCAUCAGAUUGUAGAAGAAGUUCUUCUCAAUAUGCAUGACAUCUAAAUUAUGUCGCAAUCGUUGACUCUCCCAAUAUGGCAGAUCCCAGAAAAU